rnacentral:rRNA from 1 species
AACUUGAAUUUGGGUUUUUAACUUAGAUUUGGGUGGCGGACGGGUGAGUAACGCGUAAAGAACUUGCCUCACAGCUAGGGACAACAUUUAGAAAUGAAUGCUAAUACCUGAUAUUAUGAUUUUAAGGCAUCUUAGAAUUAUGAAAGCUAUAAGCACUGUGAGAGAGCUUUGCGUCCCAUUAGCUAGUUGGAGAGGUAACAGCUCACCAAGGCGAUGAUGGGUAGCCGGCCUGAGAGGGUGAACGGCCACAAGGGGACUGAGACACGGCCCUUACUCC